AACGAACGCUGGCGGCAGGCCUAACACAUGCAAGUCGAGCGAGGACUUCGGUCCUAGCGGCGGACGGGUGAGUAACGCGUGGGAACGUGCCCUUUGCUACGGAAUAGCCCCGGGAAACUGGGAGUAAUACCGUAUGUGCCCUUCGGGGGAAAGAUUUAUCGGCAAAGGAUCGGCCCGCGUUGGAUUAGGUAGUUGGUGGGGUAAUGGCCUACCAAGCCGACGAUCCAUAGCUGGUUUGAGAGGAUGAUCAGCCACACUGGGACUGAGACACGGCCCAGACUCCUACGGGAGGCAGCAGUGGGGAAUCUUAGACAAUGGGGGAAACCCUGAUCUAGCCAUGCCGCGUGAGCGAUGAAGGCCUUAGGGUUGUAAAGCUCUUUCAGUGGGGAAGAUAAUGACGGUACCCACAGAAGAAGCCCCGGCUAACUCCGUGCCAGCCGCCGCAGUAAUAC
rnacentral:rRNA from 1 species